CGGUGUUGAACCCAGCACCUUCAAUGUCUGGUGACACUGGUAAAAUUUCUUAUUUUGAAUAGUGAUUGUCAUAUAUAGGUGAAAUAAUAAUCUUGCAUUCAUUAUCUUGUUGUAGUUGCGGGCUCGUAAACGAACUUAUCUGCUGUUUCAAAUGAAUUUCCUUCUGUAAACAGUGCUUAUUUUUCUUGCAUUUGUAUGCAUUUAAUAUGCAUUCUAUGCAGUGUUUUGUCUGAAAACUGUUAAAGUCCCUACAGAUCCUCGGGAAGGAGUUGACAACAAGAAAGCCAAAAGAAGGUCAACAGAUGCAACGUUUCCUGACCUGUGUGGACCACCGUGCGAAGCUCUGACAAAGCCUGAGAACAUUUUGGCCAGCCGUUCAUCGUGGUGUUUGUACCGCACCCUGGCCAACAACAGCUUCUCAACUAUGUUCUGGACAUCAGCAGACCCAAAGAUGAGCUGAUUGUUGAAACGUCUUCUGGAUGCCUCACGCGGGCAGAUUUUUGGACACUGGGUUUAAACAAAGAAAUGGAAUCGACUAUUGCAAAUGGCUGUUUUGAGCUUAUCACUAAAAUUGUUCAGUCAAAGGGGAUAAGCAUUUACAUAGAAAACCUGUAUGUCACCCGGACUCGGCUUGCACCCUAUGGCUGUGAUACAUUGCAGUCCUUUCCUACUGAAGCUCAGAGGAUGGACAUCAUAGUUCUCCCUCUCUGCUCAUUUCCAGUUGUGUGUAAGUCUUGUUUUUUGACACAUACACACUGUUAGAAUGUUGCUAUGUGUCUGAGAUGUAUUCAAGCUUUUAUGACGCAGUUUCAAAAGUCUUUGAUUGUGAUCGCUUGCAAUGACAUUGUUUUCAGGUUUGAAGCCAUGGCUAACUGUCUUUUAGGUACUGAAGCCACCUAGAAGAGAAAUCCUCUUUCUUGACCCGUUACACACAAAGGCAGGAUUUGGUGGCCAACAAUAUGUUUCACUUUUGAGGUCACAUUUUUAUAAGCAUUUUUGGUUUGUUCCAGAAUUUUCGGGAACCUGUUCAGUGUUCCAGGUUAAGUGCAUGAUCAUGUUCUGCUGAUCUUGAGUGUUCACACAUACAGUACACUCACAUGCUUUUUUUAUAAACUAUAUCAGCACGAUGCUUCAACAUUUUAUUCUAUUUCUCAUCUUCACAUUCUGAUCGUCAGUGAUGCUGUCUUUAGAUGAGUUUCAGACAUAAAUAGGGUCUUCAAACAUUUUAGUUUAACAUAAAACACCAUUAAAUAUUAGUUUAUAAAAUAUGCCAACCUCAAAUUAAAGCUGAAAAUGCUUUAUUUUGACCAACUGUGAGCAUGUGACUGUACUUUUUCAUUUUGUUAUGCUGUUUUGUUGAGGUCGUGUUCCUAAGACCUGCAGUUACAGUUGGUGCUAUUAGCAAUAAACAUUUCACACCCAUCAUGAUGAUGUCUGUUAACUUGUGAAU